GCCAUUACUCCCUCUUCUUCUCGGUGGAGAGAGAGAGAGAGACACAGAAGAAGAAGGGGAUGGCGAUGGUGCCGCCGCGUCUGCUGCGGGACCUCAUCGCGCCGCUGCCGCUGUUGCUGUCGCCGGCGUACUGGCUGCCCUGCCACCAGCAGCUGCUGACCUCCGCCGCCCUCCUGCACCGCUGGUGGGUCCCCUUGGCGCGCCUCCGCUGCUCCGACGGAUUCAAGCUCUUCCUCGUCGUCCUCCUCGUCUCCGCCGCCCUGGCCGAGGUCCGCUUCGUCGCCUCCGCGUCCAUGGCGCCCACCCUCCGCCCCGGCGACCGCGCCGUCGCAGAGAAAGUGAGCUACAUGCAUGUUCCGGCGGCCGUCUGUGGGGGAUAUUGUCUUCUUCAGGGUGCCUACCGCGCUGCAGAAUUGUGGCAUCAGUAAGGAUGUUGUAUUCAUUAAGAGGGUUAUUGCCACCCCUGGAGACUUCAUCGAGGUCCGGCAAGGCCAGCUUAUUGUUAACGGUGUUGCACAGAACGAACACUACACCGCACCGCAUGCGUCGUACACGAUGGAAGCCAUGGUCCAGAGAUACUUGUAUGACCAUUGCUACUACACAAACAAAUGACUAUACUACUACUACUGCAAGAGGAGGACCAAAAGUGGCAUGGCUGCUCUGUGUUGUUGACUUCCUGAGUACCCCCAUUGUUCUUUCCAAAUGAAAUGACGGGUCUCAGAUGCGCCUCCCUCAAGGCCAUGUAUUCGUCAUGGGUGAUAACCGUAAUAACAGCUGUGAUUCUCGUGCCUGGGGGCCUCUUCCUAUCAGCAACAUUCUUGGGAGAUACAUGAUGUCCUUCACAAGAUCGUCCCUCCAAUAGCCAAGGCGAAGUGCUUCGAUGACCACCAGUGUUGCCGAACAACCCCCCUGAUGCCACUCGAUAUGAUGUUAUCGAGCUAUGUUGGGCCUCGAGCCCUUCUUAGUAUGUAGAUCCACGAGACCUUCCUAUGCAGUGUGAUGUAGCACUGUCUGUGUAGUACUUGGCAGCUGUUGUCACUCACCCCUGGACUGUCAGGUGUUAGUUAAGCUUACUUGUUGGUAGAACCUGCAAAAUGUGCCUAAAGGUUCACGCCUUCUAGUAACCGUAGCUGUCUGAAUCUUACCGGUAAUGUUUUAUUAUGUACCGCGUGCUUGACUGUCAGAAGUUUGCAAUGAAUCAUUGUGGUGGUUCCUUGCUGCAUGUAGAUAAAUCUGCAAUGUUCAUCACGGCAAUCGCUGAUGUCUCUUGAGUAAUGGUAGCUGUGUCUUGUGUAUGUAGUUGAUGUAUUGAAUAAUGGUUGAUAAUACAGGUUGUGUUCUGAUAUCAA